rnacentral:rRNA from 1 species
UACGGAGGUGGCAAGCGUUGCUCGGAAUCACUGGGCGUAAAGGGCGCGUAGGCGGCGAGGUAAGUCGGGCGUGAAAUCCCUCGGCCCAACCGAGGAACUGCGCCCGAGACUGCUUCUCUUGAGUCCCGGAGAGGAAGAUGGAAUUCCCGGUGUAGCGGUGAAAUGUGUAGAGAUCGGGAGGAACACCGGUGGCGAAGGCGGUCUUCUGGACGGUGACUGACGCUGAGGCGCGAAAGCGUGGGGAGCAAACGGG